GACAGAGGACUCAGUGUGGAGAUGGGUGGGGAGAACCAGCAGGUUAUUCCUGUAACAUCACUGUUUUUCCAUGGGACAGUGGAGUUUACUGGUGUGAGUCCAGAGAGGGUCCCAUCAGUAACAUGGUUAACCUGACAGUCACUGCUUAAAACCCUCUUGGAUAGAACAUCAACUCUAAACGAGCACAGAUAUGCAAUGUGUAUAAAAUCAACUAAACCUGUGAAUAGAAUGAAUGUGAUGACAAACAUAUUCAAUGCAAUGUGAACCCUGUAAACAAUAUUACUGAUAAACAAUGCUGUAAAACAUGUUCUUAAUGCAAUCAUAAUAAUGCAGAUUAUAUAGUAGGAAUAAAAGAAUUUCUGAAUCCCCACAUUCCCUCAGUGCACACUGUAAAGUGUAAAAGAUACAAUUAGCUUUCUCCUGGUAAAAGGUCCUACAUUAUUUUCUCAACCUUUGGAAACCUCCUCUAUCGAGUUAACCCAUUUCAUUUUUUCAAACUUAGGCCUGAUUUCUUCGCCCCCUUUAACGGGUAGCGCAUAUCCGGAUUAUUUCAGGAUUUCUAUGUUAUGUAAAUUUCCUCUCAUCCCUUUUAUGCUUCCAUUAUAACCUAUGUCUAACAAGCUUUUGAUCUUCUUUGUAACAUAAACAACUAGGUGUAUUUGUGCUCUGUUUUUCUCCUUUCUCUGGUUGGUUCCGUUCGGUCUGGGGCUUCCAGGAUUCUCGCCCCCCUAUGGUCGCUGUGGUCCUGAAAUCUUCUCCUGUAAAAGAUAGAAAACAAAAAGCCUCUCUCUGCUACACCUCACUAAUCUACUGUGUUCAUCCAAUGUUCCUUUAAUUAUUCAAACUUGGUUCACAAUAUCAUGUUCUGGGCUUUAUCCUUUUUAUUAACUUUACUUAAUCUCAAUACCCUUUAUAUGUGUGAGGAACGCUUUUAGUUUUAUUAAACACACCCCGGGUAAAAUAUACACCAUCCCCAUGUCAGCCUAACUCUCCGCUAGAAAGCACGCUUCAAAAUUUUCUAUCAGGAUUUACACCUCUUUUUGCUUCAGGCAUAUACAUAACAUGCAAAAAUUACUGUUAGUGCCAGUUACACAAGUUUCCAUUAUUUACAACAUUUUGUUUCACCCGUCUCACCCUCACAUGUUUCCUUUUCACUUAUUACAUACUUAUCUUUAACACCGUCUGCCUCACUAGUUGCUAAGCAGAAACAAAGCACCAUGUGUUCCACCUUUGCCCUAUAAAAUAAAUCUAUAUCAUGUUUGUGUCUGUAAGCAUGUUUUGCAUUCAUUCAUUACACUCCACGCCAUCCCUGCAAGUUAAGAGCUAUACAGUUAAAAGCUACAGGCCUUUGGCCUCGCCUAUUUCAAAUAAAGCAGGAGAGUUUCAUUUUGCUUUAAAAAUAACUCUAUUUAAAAAUAACAAUUUCUGCCUCAGUUUUACCAUAACUAAAUUAUCAACAACCACAAAAGUCAUAAAAUGAUCCUAGAACCCAUCUCAAAUUACCUCUUAAAUUCCCCCUUUAUAUUUGGACACACCAGAUGUGUCCAAAUAAAUAAAAACUCAAAAAACUCAAAAUGCAUCACCCGGGCUUAAGAAAUUAAAGGAAAAAGGUUAGUCAUAUCAUCUCUCAGAACAGCUCAGCAAUCCUCCUCUCUGCUCCGGCCCUGAAAACCUGUGCUUAAGGAAUAAAAUCAAUUUAAUCGUCAUGUCAAAUCUUCUCAAACUCCUUGCUCCAUGCAAAAGUCUGGAUCCUUGGAAUUUCCUGGAAACAAAACCUACACUUUACAUUUCAUACUCAACUCUCCCCAUUUAUGAUCCAAUCUGUGUUACAACAAAGAAAACUUAAAACAGAACAGUUAUCAAUCAUGUGUUUCUUCAGUUAAUAGUAACAUGAGUUAUAUCAAACAAUGUUUCCCUUUUAGCAUUUAGCAUUUUAUAAUGUAAUAACAUAAUCCAACCCCAGUAAAUAAAACAAAAAUUCCCUCCAAACAAAAAUCAGCAUCCCCAGAAUUAAGUCUUCCACUUGUCCUGUUUGUCAACAUUUUAUUCAUCCCCACCUUGGUCCAGUCACACACUCACUCACAUGCAUUCACACAUGAUAUUUUUUGCUGAUCUGCAGCCUUCUGCGCACGUCAUCAGAUGCUCCACAUCAGCAAAAUGAGCUCAAUCAUUUGUUUUAUUUCGUUUUCCUUUUUAGGAAAAUAGUUCUCUACACUUUUGACUGGAUUGACUCGCUGCAAUCCUUACUUGGUAAUUUGUCCGCGCCGUCAGUUCACUCUCUUCCAGGCCUGCUUAGAGCAAAAAUGAGAAAAAAGAGAGCUGAUUGUUAGCUCAUCAAAGUACAAAACAAAAUCACCUGACAGGUUUUUUCUAAGUACACUGUUAUAAAAACUAUGGGCCCUUUUAGACAUGUCCAUGUUUAUCAAAACUCCCUCUAUUAAAAUGAAAAACAACAGCCCCAAAAAAUCUUAAACAAUCUUAAAUUUCACCCAUUCAACUCACUGAAAACCUUGUCAAAACUGCACCGUUUUACACACAACCAUGUCCCCUUUACAACAAUGUAUCUUUACCAUACUUAGAUUCAGCCUAAAAUAUAAACACGUUAUAACAAUGUGUCAACACUAAAUUAUAAAUUUCUUGUCCAAAUUUGCACCUCUGAACUGUCUACUUUGCUUCCUUUCCUCAAGGCCUCAAUCACACACACAGCAAGCUCCUCUGUCGUCACUCACUCGAGCUAAUUUACAUACUGUAUCAUAUCUCCACAAGUAAACUUGGCAAGAGAAAUACAUGUUUAAAACUUAUCAUAUUAUUCAAUUAUUUUCAUUUUCUUUCUAUACUAAUCACUUACUUUGAUCAAUCAGUGCAAGAGCACUCCUAAGUCACCCUUUUAAACUACUUUAAUCACUUCUCUUUUGUUUUUUGUUUUUUUUGUUUUUUCCAUAACUCACUCCCUUGUCAUACAGCUUCGUUUGAGUUAUUCCACAACUCUAUUUUAUCCAAGUGUGUUUUAAGUGUAUUUUCUUCAACGUUCACACCAUUUUAACACUCAUGAAAUUAGCAAGCGGAUUUAAUUACAUAUGUUUGUGUUCUUAGCCAGGUUUUAAUCACUAUCUAUGCAUUACUCUUCAUUACCUUAUCUCUGUAAGGUUAGUGCAUUUUCUGUUUGUAUGUGUGAUUUUUAUAAAUGUUUCUUUGUGAUCUUUGUGAUCUUGUAAAUGUUUCUUUUGCAGUGUUUCAGACUCCUUUUGACAGGGUGUGUUUUCUCUCUCUGGCUCAUCACUGGUCAUUGUUAAUGACAUUUCCCCUCCGCCUGUGCCCAGCGGCUGUACCCUUCAAGUCCCGUCUCCUCCAGUGACUCCAAGGUCACUCCGGGACUUAGGUUCAAGCAAUCGUGACUGCGCCUUGCCUUAGGUUGUCCCAGGGUUUCGAGGUGGGAUCUUACCCGUCAUGGGCUGUCCAGCCUUCCAUGCUGCCUUAUACGGGGGCCAACUGGGCAAGGGUGUUAUCAGGUCUAGGGGACACACUGGUUCUGGAAAUUAAAGGAGUGUAAACUGCUUUCUUUAUUUCAUGUGUGUAUUAAACUUUCCAACAAUAAUUUCACAUGGAACAGUUAGUGUACGUGCGUUUUCAAUUCAUUAAUGUAAUUGUUAGUUCAUGUAUUUAUUUCUCUCGGUCUGUCUCUUUCCUAAAACCUGUAAUUAAUAUAAUUUUAUUACUUUAUUACUUUUUCUUAAAACAUGCAUUCGCUUCAUCUUCUUAGAAUUUAACUCUGUCUAUUUCUCUGGGUGCUCCCCUGACAUCAUCAGUUACACACACACCUUCCUCUC
ensembl:lncRNA